rnacentral:rRNA from 1 species
GACGAACGCUGGCGGCGUGCUUAACACAUGCAAGUCGAACGGAAAGGCCCUGCUUUUGUGGGGUGCUCGAGUGGCGAACGGGUGAGUAACACGUGAGUAACCUGCCCUUGACUUUGGGAUAACUUCAGGAAACUGGGGCUAAUAUCGGAUAGGAGCUCCUGCUGCAUGGUGGGGGUUGGAAAGUUUCGGCGGUUGGGGAUGGACUCGCGGCUUAUCAGCUUGUUGGUGGGGUAAUGGCUUACCAAGGCUUUGACGGGUAGCCGGCCUGAGAGGGUGACCGGCCACAUUGGGACUGAGAUACGGCCCAGACUCCUACGGGAGGCAGCAGUGGGGAAUAUUGCACAAUGGGCGGAAGCCUGAUACAGCAACGCCGCGUGCGGGAUGACGGCCUUCGGGUUGUAAACCGCUUUCGCCUGUGACGAAGCGUGAGUGACGGUAAUGGGUAAAGAAGCACCGGCUAACUACGUG